rnacentral:misc_RNA from 1 species
AAAGUAGCAGAACCAGCUCCAGCUUUUGCCUCAACAACUUCGGUUCCUCCAUUUUGAAUGCGGUCAGUCAGAUAGUCAAUUUCUUCUUUGGUGAAGGAGCAUGGAGGCUUAACCUGUGAUAGAAGGGGUAAUAUUGUUACUCCUGCGUGACCACCAACUACAGGAACAUCGACUUCCCUAGGGUCAACUCCCAGUACUUCAGCCACGAAAGUAUUAGCUCUCACUACAUCAAGUGUGGUCACUCCCAAAAGACGUUUGGGAUCAUAGGUACCAGCUUUCUUGAAAACCUCUGCUGCAAUAGGAACAGUAGAGUUAACUGGGUUGCUGA